AUGGCCAGAGACAGUUGCCUCGCUCGUGUCGCCGCCGGCGCAGCCGUGGGUGGCGCUGUUGGCGGUUCCGUAGGGGCUGUUUAUGGAACAUAUGAGGCUAUUAGGUAUAAGGUACCCGGACUUUUGAAAAUUAGGCAUAUUGGACAAACAACACUUGGAAGUGCUGCUAUUUUUGGUAUAUUCUUGGGUGCGGGAAGCUUGAUACACUGUGGGAAGUCAUACUGA